GAUGGGGUCUUUUUGGAGAGGCAUUCCUUCUGAUGGAAUCACUUCCUCGUAAUUUGGAGUGAUUACAUUAGUAAUUGGGAAACUGAGAUUUCUGCCGUCUAAGGUUGUAAGAUGAACAGAGCACCCUGUCAAGGCCUCCGCCAGAGAUAUCUUUUGAGUGACAAUUAAAUCGUUUCCAUCGCGAGUGAAUACGCUGUGAGGCUUCUCAUCGAUCACAAAAACAAUAUCUGAUGGUAUAAUGUCGG
rnacentral:misc_RNA from 1 species